rnacentral:rRNA from 1 species
GAUGAACGCUGGCGGCGUGCCUAAUACAUGCAAGUCGAGCGAACGGACGAGAAGCUUGCUUCUCUGAUGUUAGCGGCGGACGGGUGAGUAACACGUGGAUAACCUACCUAUAAGACUGGGAUAACUUCGGGAAACCGGAGCUAAUACCGGAUGAUAUUUUGAACCGCAUGGUUCAAAAGUGAAAGACGGUCUUGCCGUCACUUAUAGAUGGAUCCGCGCUGCAUUAGCUAGUUGGUAAGGUAACGGCUUACCAAGGCAACGAUGCAUAGCCGACCUGAGAGGGUGAUCGGCCACACUGGAACUGAGACACGGUCCAGACUCCUACGGGAGGCAGCAGUAGGGAAUCUUCCGCAAUGGGCGAAAGCCUGACGGAGCAACGCCGCGUGAGUGAUGAAGGUCUUCGGAUCGUAAAACUCUGUUAUUAGGGAAGAACAUAUGUGUAAGUAACUGUGCACAUCUUGACGGUACCUAAUCAGAAAGCCACGGCUAACUACGUG